UAUCACUCUUGGAUGGACCUGCGGUGCAUUAGCUUAGUUGGUAGGGUAACGGCCUACCAAGGCGAUGAUGCAUAGCCGAGUUGAGAGACUGAUCGGCCACAUUGGGACUGAGACACGGCCCAAACUCCUACGGGAGGCAGCAGUAGGAAUCUUCCACAAUGGACGCAAGUCUGAUGGAGCGAACGCCGCGUGAGUGAAGAAGGGUUUCGGCUCGUAAAGCUCUGUUGUUGGUGAAGAAGGACAGGGGUAGUAACUGACCUUUGUUUGACGGUAAUCAAUUAGAAAGUCACGGGCUAACUACGUGCCAGCAGCCGCGGAAAU
rnacentral:rRNA from 1 species